GUUGGUAUGUCUGGCCUUCAAAAGUGAAGAAUGAUACAGACAAGAUCAGCAUGGUCCCUGCACAAGGUUGGCAUGCAAAAUCAUGAAGCAUUCCACAUUUUU